GCCUGGAUAGCUCAGUUGGUUAGAGCAUGGUGCUGAUAAUGCCACGGUUGCAAGUUUGAUCCCUAAAUGGGACA